AACAGGAUUAGAUACCCUGGUAGUCCACGCCGUAAACGAUGUCGACUUGGAGGUUGUUCCCUUGAGGAGUGGCUUCCGGAGCUAACGCGUUAAGUCGACCGCCUGGGGAGUACGGCCGCAAGGUUAAAACUCAAAUGAAUUGACGGGGGCCCGCACAAGCGGUGGAGCAUGUGGUUUAAUUCGAUGCAACGCGGAGAACCUUACCUACUCUUGACAUCCACGGAAUUUGGCAGAGAUGCCUUAGUGCCUUCGGGAACCGUGAGACAGGUGCUGCAUGGCUGUCGUCAGCUCGUGUUGUGAAAUGUUGGGUUAAGUCCCGCAACGAGCGCAACCCUUAUCCUUUGUUGCCAGCGAUUCGGUCGGGAACUCAAAGGAGACUGCCGGUGAUAAACCGGAGGAAGGUGGGGAUGACGUCAAGUCAUCAUGGCCCUUACGAGUAGGGCUACACACGUGCUACAAUGGCGCAUACAAAGAGAAGCGACCUCGCGAGAGCAAGCGGACCUCACAAAGUGCGUCGUAGUCCGGAUCGGAGUCUGCAACUCGACUCCGUGAAGUCGGAAUCGCUAGUAAUCGUGGAUCAGAAUGCCACGGUGAAUACGUUCCCGGGCCUUGUACACACCGCCCGUCACACCAUGGGAGUGGGUUGCAAAAGAAGUAGGUAGCUUAACCUUCGGGAGGGCGCUUACCACUUUGUGAUUCAUGACUGGGGUGAAGUCGUAACAAGGUAACC
rnacentral:rRNA from 1 species